CAAAACUGCUUCGCCAUAUCCUU
rnacentral:snRNA from 1 species